GCCCUGGUAACGGCUCCCGGCGGGCAGGCCGCCAUGGCAGCGCCUCACGCGGAGCCGUCGGGUCCGCCCCGCACCUCCUCACCUCGCGGGUGGCGGCGGUGAGCUCGGGCUUUCUUGCCGUCUGUCUUUGGGCAGCACAGGCAGCGCUCCCGGCGCGUUCAGGGGAGGCUGUGCUGAAACGGUUCGUGAGCUUCACCGCUGUCAUAGUUCAGCUAACAGGUAGAGAUAGUUUACUUCCGCACGUACCAUAUUUAGGUGGGAACAGUUCUCUCUCAGGUUGCCCGAGGUACCUCAAGAGCGCAUACACGUGUGUGUGGCCUGGAGACAAGUGAUUGUACAGGGAUCCUCCUGAAAGGGAGAUGAGCCCCAAAACGUUUGGCUGCUUAAUUCUAGGGAAACACUCUUAUCACUAAGGAUGAACUAACAAAUAAGCAAGGAAAACAAAUCCAUGGUGCUGUUCCAUAGUGGAAAAAGAACGGUAGAGUUGAAUACCAGAACUCCUCCAGCUACUGAAAUAUUUUUGAGCACCUGGAAGAUGACAGUUAAAAGGCAGACGGAGCAAGGUAACUAAAAACAUUGCACAGCAGAAGAAAAUUAUUCAUCCAAGCAAAACUUGAAACAAGCAAACCUUCUGCCCCUUAGUAACAGGUAGGUGGCUUUCCUGGGCAAGGAGCAGCAAGUCUUUUUGAUUAUUAUUGUAUAGCAGUUCCAGUUCUUACCAUUGCAAUGGGAAUAAGAUAAAAUUUCAUGGGUUUUCUGAUGUUGCUCUGGUGCCUUUGCUGUGGAUUACAGGUUUGCCACGUGGUAGGUAUUUUCACUAUUGGAUGACAAAAAAGAGUGAGAGAAAGUGAACCUGUUCUUUUCAUAAUUGAUUAGAGAAACCUUUGACAGUUUCAUGUUUCAGAGAGAAGUGAAAACCACAAACAAACUGGGAAAGAGUAAAGCAAAAGUGAUACCAGAGGAGCUUUAACACUUAAAGUUAGGUAAACUGAGACAGGAACAGCACUUCCCCCAUUGCCUCAUUUGGGAAGUAUAUGAUCUGUAUGUUACCAUAAGACUUGUAAGUGAGGCAGAACUACAAGGAGAGUUGAGAGAAAUCAUGCCUAAAAAUUUCAGUAAAUUGAAAGGAGUUUACUUUUCACCUGUUUAGUGUCCUACCUUUAGUACUUUGUCCCUAAUAGUGAGAUGUCUGACAAGAUUCCAGUGCAAUUUCAAAGUACAAUUUUGUGAGUCAAGUUUUGAGGAAAUGUGAUAGUGGGGGGGAGGUCCCUAACAACAAAGAAGAGAGACUUGGUUGCAUAUUUUAAGUUUAUAAUACAAAGAGUUGGAAUAAAGACAUUUACAAGGAUAUGGAAUAAAAAAAAGGAGGAAAAGCAGAAGGCAGGAGAACAUAGGAUCCCUGCAGAGGAACAGAAGAGAAGCAUUUGAGACUGGACAGAAUGCAAACUAUUUAGAAAAAUGAAAGUGUGUUGUAGUCUGGAAGAAAAAGACUAAAAAACAAUGUGGCAAAAAGAUAUGGUUAAAGAUGCUUAAAGAGAUUCAUUCUUUAAAAAUGUAUCAAAUAUUCUAGUGAUAUUUUGGACAGUUAUUUGUGUUGUUGGCCCCAUCUGUUUUUAAUAAUGAACGAUCCAAAUGUGAAAUACUUCCCUAUCUGUUAUUCAUGUACAAAAAGUAGUAUUUCACUAGCUGACAGCAAUACACUGAAAAUUAUGUACUCUUCUUGAUUACUCUCCAUCAUUUUUGAAAAGUCAUGGCUGUCAGGUGACACCCCCAGUGUCUGGAAAAGGGGAAACAUCACUCAUGUUUUUAAGAAAGUGAGAAAAGAAGACGUGAGGAACUGCAGGCCAGUGAGCAUCACCUCCAUGCCUGCGAAGAUCAUGUAGCAGAUCUUGCUCAAAGCUAUGUUAAGGCACAUGCGUGACAAGGAGGUUAUCUGUGGGAAUACAAGACUUAUUCAAGACAGCCAUCAUGGCUUCACCAAAGGCAGAUCAUGCCUGACCAAUCUGGUGGCCUUCUACAGUAGACUGACAGCAUCAGUGGACAAAGGAAGGGAAACUGAUGUUGUCUACCUGGACUUCUGCAAGGCCAUCAACAUGGUCCCUCACCACAUCCUUAUCUCUAAAUUAAUGAGAAAUGGAUUUGAAGGGUGGACUGUUCAUUGGAUAAAGAAUUAGUUGAAUAGUCAUAGCCAGAGAGUUGUUAUCAAAAGCUUUAUGUCCAGAUGAUGGCCAGUGAUGAGUGGAGUCCACCAGGAGUCCAUCUUGAGAUCACUGCUUUUUAACAUCUUAUCGAUGACAUGAGCAGUGGAAUUGAGUGCAUCCUCAGCAAGUUUGCAGAGGACACCAAGCUGAGUGGUGCAGUUGAUACAACAGAAGAAAGGGAUGCUGUCCAAAGAGACCUGGACAAGCUUGAGAAGCGAGCACACAGUAACCUAAUUAGAUUCAACAAUGCCAAGUGCAAGGUGUUGCAUUUGGGUCAGGGCAAUCCCAGGUGUGUUUCCAGACUGGGAGAAGAACUCACUGAGAGCUGCUAAUGUGAAAAUGCAAAAUAAAGCAUCAAUGUGUUCAAAGAUGUUACAACCAUUUAGAAUAUUCUGUUGAAUGACAGCAAAAUGUCUUUGUCAUACUGACAGAUUUUCUGCAUGGUCUGUUUUUCCUGCACCAAGAGGGGCAUUUUUGCAAAAGAAAGAACUUCCUUAGAAACCUGUCCCUACUCUCUCCCUGUGAAGAAAUGUAAUAUAAUGAAAUAUAUAUAUUUUUUCAGAAUUCUUAUUGUUCACUUCUUUUUGAAAUAAAUGAGGCACAUUUGAAAAUAUAUAUAUUUUAAUAUUUCAGUAUCGUGACUUAGACUGUGAACUGCAUCAGGAAAAUAUUUAAAUGUCAGCUUGUAAUACAACAAAAUAACACAAUAGAAAGUGUAGUAGAAGGAACUAACAUUUCACCAUUUUUAUCAGAAAGAAAAGAAUAAAGGAAAAUACAUGAAUUAUUACAACAUAGGAACUUUAGGCUCUUUUUGGGUUGAGGAAGGAGAGGGGGAAGGUAUUGUUUAAAUUUUUGUUUUUAUUUCAUGCUACCUAAAUUUAUUUUAACUGGCAAUAAAUUAAACGAAUGCUCCCCAAGUCAAGUCUGUUUUACUUCUGACAGUAACUGGUAAACAAUUUCACUGUCUUUAUCAUGACCGACAAGCUUUCUCAUGCAAUUUUCUCCCCCUGUCCUAUUGAGAAGGUGGAGAGAGGGGCUGAGUGUGUGGCUGGCUGCUGGCCAAGGCGAACCCAUCACAAUAUGGUAGAUAGGGCAGUGAGGUACUGGAGUCCAGGACUAAGAUUUAUUAAGUACUUUCACAACAGCUCACUAUUUACAAUUUUGUUUUGAUUUUAAUAUUAUAUGCUUUUUGAAAUUAUGGAAAAUGUAAAUUAUUAUAUAUAUAUUUCAGAUUGGUUAUAGCAAAUAAAACAAGUGCUUAUACCCAUUUCUGGAGACUAUGUUCUUGCCACAGCCUUGAUUCAGGAUUCAAGUGUUAUUUUUGUAAAUAAAAUCUUAAGGUACUUUUUUUAAGGUAUUUUUGCAAAACAUUAGAAUAGAAGUAAUAUGAAAUGAUUUCAGCUUUACUUCUGUCCAGUGUAUUUCUGAUGAAUGGAAACUAGGAAUCUAGUUUUAAUCUAGUCUAACCAUGGAAGGACUAAAUCCAGUCUGCAUUCUAUGGUAACCCAGUUGCACAAGGAGAAGCCUGAUGAACAGUUCCGAAUACUUGUUCUUACCAGCCCAUGAUAUUUCAUUCCCAAGCAAUAAACUGUACAGUUGUAUAACAGAUAGGUUUCAUAGGUAUUGUCAGGAAAAUGGUAUUUUUUUGACAUAUAGUUGAAAUAAUGAAGUCUAUCUUCUGAACAAUGGAACUGAUUGUGAUAAAAGAAAAACAAGCUUUGGUAACACUUGAUUCAGGGCUUACAAGCCAUGCAGACCCUGAAUAUAGAUAGCACUUAGGGAUUUUUAGUUUUAGUUUUAGCACAGCUAAGGAAUGAACACAUGCAAAAGAUUGUUGGAAGAGAUAUUAGAGAAUGAAGAAGUGGGAAGAGAGAAAGGAAGGCACUUUGCAUCUGUGACAGAGGGCAAAUACAAUAAGGGAUGGAGUAAAUGGAUGGAUAGAAAAAAUAAAUGCCUGGAAGCUCUACUUUCAGCACUGCUAUCUGUUGUUAUCUACUGUUCCCUUUUAGUUUUCACCCUUCAUCCAUCUGCUCUUCACAGCCUUACAGCCUACAGACAUUACAGGUAAUGUCUGGAAGGAACAGAUGCACCUCACAUAAAAUAGGGAAUGGAUAAGUGAUUUCUAAUCACUCUAUGAUAGGGAAUGUCUCAGUGAGAAGGUUCUGCUACACUGGUAUAGAAUUGUAUACACUGGAAGUAUCAAAUUGUCUCUAUCUGUAUUUAUCAUCCCAUUAGACAAACUCUUAGAAAUUCCUAUCAGUGGCUCCUUCAUUCAGAUUUUGAGAACCAUGCCUUCCCUGGUGAAAAGGGCGGAAGAGGUAAACUAAGCUUCCUUCUCUUCCUCCUCUUCCUCUCUCCCUUCCUUUUUCUUCUCUCUUCCUUCCUGCCUGCCUUCUUUGAAGAAUAUAUAUGUGUAUAUACUAUGAUCUGUAGCACUCAAGCAAGCAAGCAAGCAAACAAACAAAAAGGCAUCCUUUCUCUCUUCCUCAUGUAUACCAACAUCUGGAGAAAAUCUGUAUGAAAUUAUUCCACUAGGUCAUGGAAGUUAAUUAUAUCAUCGUGUAAGACCAUGGCAUCUAGCAAUGGAUUGUGACUGAAUUCUGCAUUCGUUAAUUACUUCGAUUUUCAUGUGUUUUGGUAGUUACAUGCCACACUAUUAUACAAACAGCUCAAUAUUUUCUUAGCUAUGUUUAUACAAGAGAUGAGAUAUUGAUCUUAGAAUCAUAUAACAUCCCAAGUUCGAAGGUACCCAUGAGGACUGAGUCCAUCUCCUGACUCCAUACAGAACCACUCAAAAUUCAAGCUUCUCCUGUGUAACUAGUGAUAUGACUAGAGAAAAUGAGCUCUAGUUCUGCCAGGGGAGGUUCAGUGUGGAUAUUAGGAAAAAUUUCCUCUCCAAGAGUGGCAAGGCACUGGAACCUGUUGCCCAGGGAGGUGAUUGAGUUACCACCCUGAAAGUGUUCAAGAAAUGUUUAGAUGUUGUACCAAAGGACAUGUUUUAGUGGGGAAAUGGUAGUGGUAAGUGGACGGUUGGACUUGAUGACCUUGGAGGCCUUUUCCAACCUUAUAUGAAACUAAAUUUCUGAUAGCAUUCUCCAAAUACUUGAACUCCAGCAAACUUGGUGCCAUAGCCACUUCCUUAGGGAGCCUGUUCCAGUACCCAGCUAUUAUCUCAGUGUAGAACACUUUCCUAACACCCAACCUGAACUUCCCUUGACGCUGCUCCAUGCCAUUCCCUCAGGCCCUGUCUCUGUUACCACAGAGCACUGCUCAGCACUGUCCUUCCACUCCCUUCCCCAUGUGAGGAGCCACCAUGAGGCCUCUGCUCAGCCUCCUCUUCUCUGGACUGAACAAACCAAGGGACCUUAGCUACUUCUCAUACAUCUUGCCCUCUGUCCCUUCACUGUGUCUGUAGCCCUCCUUUGGAUGCUUCCUAAUAGUUUUAUGUCCUUAGACUGCGAUGUCCCAGACUGCACACAGUGCUUGAGGAAAGGCUGCAUCAGUGCAGAGCGGUCAAUUCCUUCCCUCAUCUGGCUAGCGAUGCUGUGCCUGAUUCACCCCAGAGAAUGGAUGGUUCUGUUGGCUGCCAAGACACACUACUGACAUAUUCAACUUGUCAUCAAUCAGAAUCUCUAGAUCCCUUUCCACUGGACUGCUCUCCAGCCUCUCAUCCUCCAGGGUUGCCCUGUCCCACAUGCAGAAUUGAGCACUUGAUCUUGUUUGACUUCAUGUGGUUGAUGAUCAUCCAGCCUUCUAAUUUGUCAAGAUCUCUCUGCAAGGCCUCUCAACUCUUCUGGGAGUCAAGAGUCAAGAGUUUGUUCCAGUUUAGCAUCUCCUGCAUACUUACAUAGUAUACUUUCAAGAUCUAUACCCAAGUUAUUUGUGGAAACAUUAAAGAGCCCUGAAAUUGAGCCCUGUGGAACCCCACUAGUGACUGGCCACCAUCUUAAUGUAACCCCACUUUGAGCCUGAUCCACCAGACAAUGGUUCAACUAUUGCAUUAUGUCUUUGUCUAGCUGUAUGCUGUACGUUUUGUCCAAAAAGAUACUGUGAGACACAGUACUGAAACCUUCGCUGAAAUCCAAAAGAUUUCAUCAAAUGGCUUCCCUCAGUCAACUAGAUGGUUAAUCUGUCAUAAAAAGAGAUUAAGUUCAUUAAACACUACUUUCCCAUUGUGAACCUGUGUUGGCUGUGGCCAAUGAGUGCAUUGUCUUUUGGGUGUUUUCCAGUAACUCCUCCAAUAAUCAAGUCUGCAGUUUUGCCAGGCACCGAAUUGAGGCUGACAGGCCUGUAAUUACCAACGUCUUCUUUCUCACCCUUCUUGAAAAUUGAGAUGUUUGCCAAUUUCCAAUCAACUGGGAGCUUCUCAGAUUCCCAAGACCAUUGAAAAAUAAUUGAGUGAGGUCUCACAGUGGCAUAAGGUAGCACUUAGUGCACCUAGGAUAAAUCCCAUCAGGCCCCUUAGAUUUCUUUGUGUCCACAAGAUAUAGGAGGAAGUCAUGAGAAAGUACUCAGAACUGGGCAAAUAAAACCAAGCGACAACUUCAGUUGGAAAAUCUUUAAGAGCAAGAGAAUGUCUUGAAAUUCAAAUUUAUUCACAGUGACUUCUAGCAAAAAUAAUAGCCACACAAAUUUUUGUUUACAAAGCCUUCAGCUCAUUAGAAGGCUGAUCAUCCUAAUAUGUUUAAGACAAAAGAAAAAGGAGGAAAAAAGGAGAGACCUUUCAAAAUACAACUGAGAAGACCAUGAGAUAUUCCAGAGUCCAUGUUAUUAUGUAAAUAAUCUCUUCUUGGAAAAGUUCACUGUGGCUAAGCCCAAGUUUCAAAUUUCAAGUUUCAAGUCAACCUUUUCAAGUUGUUAACUAAACUACACCACAUCUGAUUCUUCACUGGCAAUUUCCUGCAGGUUCACAUAAUUUACUGAGAAAUUUAUAUGUCUGUUACCAUUCAGAUUUGUUAAACUGUAAGUCUUCCACAUUCUGGAAAAAUCUAAAUGAAGUAUUACACUGGGGGGAAAAAAAUGCCAAGGUUACAGCUGAGACAAAUAAACUGAGAUAAGUAAAUAUUCACCCUGAGGAUAAGCCUUCUUAAAUGGCGCCAACGUUUUUCUCUUGAAAGUAUUUGUUUAUAAACAUCAGAAAAGGUCAAAUAUUUGUUGUUCAUUUGCACUCAGACAAUAACAUCACUACAAUAAAUAAAUAAAUAAAUAAAUAAAUAAAUAAAUAAUUCACCCCAGAAUUUCAGGUCAUUUGUGUAGUUCAUUUACUAAAGACAUCUUGUAUGUAUUACAUUCCAUAGUGGUGUUCAGAUACAUUUCUUCCAACAGGCCAAAACAUGUUCUUCAGAGAACCCACAGGAGGAAACAUCAGACAUAUUCUUUAAAUUCCUUCACUUGUUUCAAAAAAUGCAUUAAAAAUAUUGGAUAAAGGUUAAUAAGACAUACUGAUAAAACUAUAUGUAAUUUGGAAGUAAAGCACAUUUCAUCCAAAAAGAACUAUGGAAGUUAAAACUGAGUGUUAAUUUCUCAAUUUCUGCUGUGAUGACAAUGCUACAACUGCUUUACAUUUUUAGGGAGAAGAAGGGCUCUUCCACAAUAAGCUACUUCCAGAGCCAUUAUCCCCAAAGGAAUGAAUAGACAACUGUAUUCAGAAAGAGACAUUGUUAAUAAACUUGAGGGAAAGCAAACAGUUCUGCUGCCAUUACAUGAAUACUUCCAGUGAUUCAAAAUAAGCUGCAAGAAAAAAAAAAAAGCCAAGAGAGUUUUUACAACUUUAAGAUUCUCCAAUAUGUCAAGUACUGUUUUUACAACUGGAUUUUAUAACUUUCUCAUAUCAAACAGUUAUUUGGACAAUAGGAGAAAAUCUCUUCUUUCCAGGAAACAGAAUUCUGAUCGUUGCUCAGAAUUGCUUAAAUUUUUAGACUUUGGAAAAGGAUCUUUGUUUAGUAGACUCCAAUUGUCCAUCAGAACUGGCUCUCCAAACUUCCUUGAGAUUUCUGUUUCUGUACUCAUGAAUGAAGUAUAAACUUUUCAGAAUUUGAGAACAGUAGAAUGUUAUAAGAAUUCUAAACACACAGCUUGUCAGCAGUCUAGACACAGGGGAUAAUCACAGUCAGCAGCACUCUCUUUUCUAUUACUAGUCAACUGCUUCCCUCAGUUGCUGAUUAAACUAUAUCCUAUCACCACAUGGAGACACAUAUGAUGCCUGAUAAAUAAAAUAUUUUAAGGCACUGAGA